UGGGGAAUAUUGCACAAUGGGGGGAACCCUGAUGCAGCGACGCCGCGUGGGUGAAGGAGUAUUUCGGUAUGUAAAGCCCUAUCAGCAGGGAAGACAAUGACGGUACCUGACUAAGAAGCCCCGGCUAACUACGUGCCAGCAGCCGCGGUAAUACGUAGGGGGCAAGCGUUAUCCGGAUUUACUGGGUGUAAAGGGAGCGUAGACGGCAUAGCAAGUCUGAAGUGAAAGGCUGGGGCUCAACCCCGGGACUGCUUUGGAAACUGUUAGGCUGGAGUGCAGGAGAGGUAAGUGGAAUUCCUAGUGUAGCGGUGAAAUGCGUAGAUAUUAGGAGGAACACCAGUGGCGAAGGCGGCCUACUGGACUGUAACUGACGUUGAGGCUCGAAAGCGUGGGGAGCAAACAGGAUUAGAUACC
rnacentral:rRNA from 1 species